rnacentral:rRNA from 1 species
AUUGAACGCUGGCGGCAGGCUUGACACAUGCAAGUCGAGCGGGGUGAUGGUGCUUGCACUAUCACUUAGCGGCGGACGGGUGAGUAAUGCUUAGGAAUCUGCCUAUUAGUGGGGGACAACAUCUCGGAAGGGAUGCUAAUACCGCAUACGUCCUACGGGAGAAAGGAGGGGAACACUUGUUACCUUGCGCUAAUAGAUGAUCCUAAGUCGGAUUAGCUAGUUGGUGGGGUAAAGGCCUACCAAGGCGACGAUCUGUAGCGGGUCUGAGAGGAUGAUCCGCCACACUGGGACUGAGACACGGCUCAGACUCCUACGGGAGGCAGCAGUGGGGAAUAUUGGACAAUGGGGGGAACCCUGAUCCAGCCAUGCCGCGUGUGUGAAGAAGGCCUUAUGGUUGUAAAGCACUUUAAGCGAGGAGGAGGCUCUUUUGGUUAAUACCCAAGAUGAGUGGACGUUACUCGCAGAAUAAGCACCGGCUAACUCUGUGCCAGCCGCCGCGGUAAUAC